rnacentral:rRNA from 2 species
CUUUCGAGCGAGCGAACGCGGCAAGACAAGGCUUUUCCGUCUCGCUGACAGACUUGAAGUUCAGACAAGGACAAGGAUUGGGAUUGGGAUGGACUUUUCUGCCAGACUUAGACUUGGAAGGCGACGAAGGUGGAGCCUAGCUACUAGCUUGCUUUUUCGGAGCGAGCGAACGUGGGGCAAGACUUUCUUUUGCCAUGAUCAAGACUGGUCGGGGGGAGGGACCGCUCAAGUCAAGCUUUGACCCAAGGACCAAGCCUGAUCUUGCAAAUUUCAAAGGUUGACCUCAAAUCAGGUAGGACUACCCGCUGAACUUAAGCAUAUCAAUAAGCGGAGGAAAAGAAACUAACAAGGAUUCCCCUAGUAACUGCGAGUGAAGCGGGAAAAGCUCAAAUUUUGAAUCUGACGGUCGUAAAGGCCGU